rnacentral:rRNA from 1 species
CCUACGAGCGGCAGCAGUGAGGAAUAUUGGUCAAUGGGCUUACGCCUGAACCAGCCAAGUCGCGUGAGGGAAGACUGCCCUACGGGUUGUAAACUUCUUUUAUAAAGGAAUAAAGUGAGGCACGUGUGCCUUUUUGUAUGUACUUUAUGAAUAAGGAUCGGCUAACUCCGUGCCAGCAGCCGCGGUAAUACGGAGGAUCCGAGCGUUAUCCGGAUUUAUUGGGUUUAAAGGGAGCGUAGAUGGGUUGUUAAGUCAGUUGUGAAAGUUUGCGGCUCAACCGUAAAAUUGCAAUUGAUACUGGCAGCCUUGAGUACAGUUGAGGUAGGCGGAAUUCGUGGUGUAGCGGUGAAAUGCUUAGAUAUCACGAAGAACUCCGAUUGCGAAGGCAGCCUACUAAACUGCCACUGACAUUGAUGCUCGAAAGUGUGGGUAUCAAACAGGAUUAGAUACCCGGGUAGUC